rfam:Schizosaccharomyces cryophilus OY26 unplaced genomic scaffold supercont4.6, whole genome shotgun sequence.
GUCUACGGCCACACCUAGGCGAAAACACCAGUUCCCGUCCGAUCACUGCAGUAAAGUGAAAACGUCUGAGGGCCUCGUUAGUACUAUGGUUGGAGACAACAUGGGAAUCCGGGGUGCUGUAGGCU